AAUGGACCAGAGCAUGGACACACGUGUGGGAGAAGAUUCUGGAAGCUCUUGAAACAGUCCAGAUGAAAGCCAGUGAAGGGCUGUACUGCUGAGCAGCAGAGAAAAUAGAAGA
ensembl:misc_RNA